UACGGAGGAUGCAAGCGUUAUCCGGAAUGAUUGGGCGUAAAGCGUCCGCAGGUGGCAAUGUAAGUCUGCUGUCAAAGCGUCUGGCUCAACCAGAUAAAGGCAGUGGAAACUACAUAGCUAGAGUAAGGUAGGGGUAGAGGGAAUUCCUGGUGUAGCGGUGAAAUGCGUAGAGAUCAGGAAGAACACCGGUGGCGAAGGCGGCGACCUGGGCCAAUAUUGACGCUGAGGUGCGAAAGCGUGGGGAGCAAACAGG
rnacentral:rRNA from 1 species